CUUGGGAAACCAAGGCUAAUACCGCAUAACCUCUACGGAGAAAAGCGGGGGAUCUUCGGACCUCGCACUGACGGAGUAGCCCAUGUCCGAUUAGCUUGUUGGCGGGGUAACAGCCCACCAAGGCGAUGAUCGGUAGCUGGUCUGAGAGGAUGAUCAGCCACACCGGGACUGAGACACGGCCCGGACUCCUACGGGAGGCAGCAGUGGGGAAUAUUGCACAAUGGAGGAAACUCUGAUGCAGCGAUGCCGCGUGAGUGAAGAAGGCCCUUGGGUUGUAAAGCUCUUU
rnacentral:rRNA from 1 species